rnacentral:rRNA from 1 species
UACGGAGGGUGCAAGCGUUGUCCGGAUUUAUUGGGUUUAAAGGGUGCGUAGGCGGCCUUGUAAGUCAGUGGUGAAAGCCUCCGGCUCAACUGGAGAACUGCCAUUGAUACUGCAAGGCUUGAGUACAGACGAGGUUGGCGGAAUUGAUUGUGUAGCGGUGAAAUGCAUAGAUACAAUCAAGAACUCCGAUUGCGUAGGCAGCUAACUAGGCUGUAACUGACGCUGAGGCACGAAAGCGUGGGGAGCGAACAGG